rnacentral:rRNA from 1 species
AUUGAACGCUGGCGGCAGGCCUAACACAUGCAAGUCGAGCGGAUGAAGGGAGCUUUCUCCUGGAUUCAGCUGCGGACGGGUGAGUAAUGCCUAGGAAUCUGCCUGGUAGUUGGGGAUAACGUCCGUAAACGGGCCCUAAUACCGCAUACGUCCUUAUGUAGAAAGUGGGGGAUCUUCGGACCUCACGCUAUCAGAUGAGCCUAGGUCGGAUUAGCUAGUUGGUGUGGUAAAGUCCUACCAAGGCGACUGUCCGUAACUGGUCUGAGAGGAUGAUCAGUCACACUGGAACUGGGACACGGUCCAGACUCCUAAGGGAGGCAGCAGUGGGGAAUAUUGGACCAUGGGCGAAAGCCUGAUCCAGCCAUGCCGCGUGUGUGAAGAAGGUCUUCGGAUUGUAAAGCACUUUAAGUUGGGAGGAAGGGAAGUAAGUUAAUACCUUGCUGUUUUGACGUUACCAACAGAAUAAGCACCGGCUAACUUCGUG